AUACGUAGGGUGCGAGCGUUGUCCGGAAUUACUGGGCGUAAAGAGCUCGUAGGUGGUUUGUCGCGUCGUCUGUGAAAUUCCGGGGCUUAACUCCGGGCGUGCAGGCGAUACGGGCAUAACUUGAGUACUGUAGGGGAGACUGGAAUUCCUGGUGUAGCGGUGAAAUGCGCAGAUAUCAGGAGGAACACCGGUGGCGAAGGCAGGUCUCUGGGCAGUAACUGACGCUGAGGAGCGAAAGCAUGGGUAGCGAACAGGAUUAGAUACCCUGGUAGUCCAUGCCGUAAACGGUGGGCGCUAGGUGUAGGGGUCUUCCACGACUUCUGUGCCGUAGCUAACGCAUUAAGCGCCCCGCCUGGGGAGUACGGCCGCAAGGCUAAAACUCAAAGGAAUUGACGGGG
rnacentral:rRNA from 1 species